rnacentral:lncRNA from 1 species
UUUUUUUUUUCCAGAAUAGAACAAGAGUGGUCUCUAUUCCAGUUCCAAAUACGAUCCUUGUUCCCCUGUGCCACCUCACGAGCACAGUCUUCACUGUCUGGUCUUCGGAGCUCCCACCAGAAUCACCCAUUCGACUCCACUUAUAACACUCUACGCUUCCCCAGCUUGCAUUUCUAAGCUUUUCAAACUCUUCUGGCAAAUCCGUUCCCAAGGCUCUGAACCACAUGGUCAGAUUAGUCACAGCAAAGACCCCACUUCUCAGGACUGACUUCUGUUUUAGUCAGCUUCUUGUUGCUAUGACCAAAACACCUGACAAGAACCAUUUCUGUGUUAGUUGGCUUCUCACCAUUGUGAUCAGAGUACACAACAAGACCGAUUGAGAGGAUGAAAAGUAUUUUUGUGUGGGGGUUCAGAGGUUUAAGUCCACAGUGGUCAACUCUAUUGCUCUGGGCUGCAGGUGAGACAGAACCUACAGUGAAGGGUGAGUACUGCUCACCUCAUGGUGACCAGACAGACAGGGGAAGGGGCUUCAGGGAGGGUACACCAGGGCAAACCUCCAGUGACCCCCUCUUUCAGCUGUGGCCCACCUGCCUGCAGGGACCACAGUCAGUCCGUUCAAACUAGGAUGAACUAAGUUACAGCUCUCGUCAUCCAAUAACUUCACCUCUGAAUAUUCCUGAAUCAACACAGGAGAUUGGGAGGAACACCUCGUUUCCAAACCCUAACAGGUCCUUCCAGGGGCCCUUCUCUGUCUCUCUCUCCAUGCCUUCUCGGUAUCCUGUGGGAUGGUGGCAAUGACCCCAUGCACUGUCCAGGAGGGUCUCCUAGAGCACCCUGCCCACUAAGCAGGCCUUGGUGCCCACUCCCCUUCCCGCUCCUGCAGGAAGGUACCUGCAGAUACAGUUUGGCACCUCCUUCCUCCCUCCUCUGUCCCCAAGCCCCCGGCGUGGGGAGUACAUGGGGAGCCCUUCCUGGCUAAAGGGGAGGCGCUGAGGGGGUUGGCUGGAGUCAGCAUCCUGGGGCACACCCCCCCCCUUGCCCUCCCCGUGGUCUCAAGCCACGAAAGACAGGAGCUGAAAGUUCCCCUGGAUGAGGCAUGGCUGCUGGAGAAGAUGGACCAGGAACUUGAAAUACGCACGGAAAAAAUAAAGCCCAGUGGUAGGUGUGCCUAGGAGAAGGAGGAGGAGCGUGGUCAGGAAGGGACCAGUCGCAGGACAGAACCUGCAGCAAAGCCAGUGAGGGAGAAGUGAGAGAGGCCAGAGGGAGACCAAGGCCCAACAAGACCCCGCCCAGGGGUCCCCGUGCUGUCCAGGCCUGCCGCUCCCCAGCAGUUCUGCAGGCCGCUCCUCCCGAAUGCCUGGAAUCCGUGCGUCUACCUGCGCACGGUUAACCAACACCUGAAAUUUUUAUUGUUAAAGAGAUACGGUAUUUGAAGACACCUGUAAAUCAGGGGACUGCGCAGUGCUUUCUACUGAUGCAGUGACGAAGACCACCCAGCCUAAGCAUGCUAGGAGGGACGAGAGCACCAGAUCCCAUCUUGAGAUCACCAGACCGAGAUCCUCCCUCCACGUCUCUCCCUGCCCACCCCUCACCAAGUUUCCUUAAAAAAAAAGAAAGAAAGAAAAUAAAAUCUGGGAGUUCCACAGAUGCAUCUCACACCCUUGAGAUGGCCUGCUUCUCCCUCGAAUGCGUAUUCACCUCCUAAAUAAACCUCUGUUUGGGCCUUUGACUGAGGUCAGAGGGAGACUUACUGGACAGGUGAGACCCUGGCCAGUGGGAGCCCAACUUGGGAGAAUGAUCAUUAAAAUCAUGGGGGACCUUGUAGACGUGGACAAGCUUCAGGAACACAAGGCUGGUGCGUCUGAACCUCCCAGUGCGUCUGAACCUUAUAAUCCCUAAGGGAAUGACAGGCUCCAGACCAUGUCACCACAGUCUCUUGUGACCAGAUCACCAGGACCUCCCUUAUUGCCAACAUCAUGCAACAACUACCCCUUGUGACUGGGUCAUCAUGGCCCUCACAUAGGAAACUUGCUCAAGGCUACCCCAAGGGAUCAUCAGCCACUUACGGGGUCCAAGAGAACAGAACAAGAUCAAAGAAGCCCAAAUCUCUUCAAGCCCCCAAAUCUCCAAGGGCCGUUCCCUUCAGAGAUGGUCCAGGCCAGUCGGCACCUGUUCUACAUGCUGAUUUCUCUUAUGCUCACUUUCCCAAAAUCCUGCUGCCACAUGCAACUUAUCUGCAAUCCUUCCUGCGAGAUUUUAAGAACCCUCUGCAACACCAAGACACGCAAGACCCAGCUUGAGUAGUGCUAGAAAGAAAGUUAUAACAUGCAACAGAUUCAGCCAGGGGUGGAGGGACAUGCCUCUAUCCCAGUGACUCAUGAGAACAAGGCAGGGGGAUUGCAGGUUUGAGACCAGCGUGGCAACUUUGUGAGAUUCUGUCACAAAAUACAUGGAAAUUGAAAGGGCCAGGGAUGUAACUCCAAGGAAGAGCACUUUCCUAGCAUGUGUGAGGCUCUGGGUUCCAUCCACAGUACCAUGAAUACAGACAAAGAAAAGAUUAAAAACUAUAGAGGUGUACUGUGAAUAAUGUGUUUAUUUAAAAUAAUAAACCCCCAAACCUAGAUGAAAUAGAUAAAUUCCUUGAA